CUCUCUAUGGGUUUUAGCCUAUGAAUCGCCCCCCGGAUCAUAAAGUUACAAGGGGACCCAGGGUACGAGGUUCGAUCUUAAAGUUUGUCUCAUUCAAAAGAACUCUUAAAAUUAUAUAUUAAACUCUAUUACCGAUUUGUUAUAUCUUGCUUAGUUCUCGAAAUAUUUAGACCGAAAUUAAUGAGCUUUCCGCCAUCUUGGAAAAAUUCUUUACCUCGUUAACUAUGGUUUUGAUGACGUCAGGAGUUGGGUUAACCAUAUAAAACUACUCUAAAAUGAUCGAAUAACAAUCCAAAAUUGUUUGAAAUGUUUUUAAUCAUUUCUAAAUUUCUGACAGCAACCAGAAACGACAUUUUGGACUUAUAUUGAUCGCUUACUCUCAAGAUAAAAACUUAGCGUGACCCCUCUCUUGACGUAACGUGCAUAUCCUCAAUAAUCCAAGAUGGCGAACAGCUCACUUUUUUC